GCAGUCAUGAUUAUUCAGUGACCUAUGGU
rnacentral:piRNA from 1 species